CUCCCACAAGGAUUCUCUGGUCUCCACACUGUCAGCCUGGUCAGCAGUCCGGACUGUUGGUUAUAUUCCACCUUCUAACCUCUCUUUGCUCAGCAACUUCUCCCACACCACGCAGCAGAUUCCUCCCUGGAUUCCCUCCACCCUGAUCUCAAGACAAUCCUCCUUCACCUUCUGGAUCUCACUCUGCUGAAGCCAGACCAUAGAGAAGACCAGGGUUGCACAUUCUAUCAUUUGUAUACAAAUAAAUGUUUGUAACCCA